rnacentral:misc_RNA from 1 species
UUGAAUUAAACCUGGCUAGGUUGCUGCUGGCCCUUAGGGGCAUGUGCACGCCUGCCUACGUUUUAACCACCUGUGCACCUUUUGUAGACCUGGAUAACUCUCGAAGCAACUCGGUUGGAGGACUGCUGUGCUUUUAACUAAGUCGGCUUUUCUUACACUUCCGGUCUACGUCUUUACAUACCCCAUAAGAAUGUAACAGAAUGUCUUUUUUACUGGCCUUAGUGCCUUUAAUCUAAUA